GUUUCCUCUCCCUCCCUCACUCUCCCUUUUUCUCUUCCCCUCUCUUUCUCUCCUUGUCUUUUUGUCUCUUUAUGUCUAUUGCAUUAUGCCUGAAUAAUUUUCAGUCUUUUUUUUCCUCCCCUCUUGAAUGCACAUGCUAAAAUAACUAGACAAAGAUGCAAGGUGGUUGCUGCAGUCCCUGUCUCUAGGACAAAACCAAGAAAGCUUGUGAUUGCAAUGCCACCUUUCCUUUCUCUUUUUUUUUUUUUUUCCCUCCUUUUUUUCUUCCCCAGCCAUGCUUGGUGAUUAAACUUCCUCAGGAUGGGGAAGAAAAAGGAGCUGGAAAUGAAACAGGGUUGAAGAAAAAUCCCAUUGCAGCAGCUGCAGCCAGUGGUAUCUCCUGCCAGAUGUGCGAAGGUUCCCGGGGUCCUUGUCACUAAAAGGCAGUAUUCAAAUAUUUGGAGACAAAAGCUGCAUCCUCAGUGUUCAUUUUCUUUAUUUAACAUGGCAGCAGGCAUCGUGUGGGGAAAAAUCAACACGCUGGAUGUUGAAUCGGACUUUUCUCCUUUCUGGGAUGAAAGGAUGUUAUCUAUCCCAUGCCAAGAGGGAACUGAGUCAGUGUUAUGUAUUCACUUACACAUAACACCAAGGCCUUCAGUGGUUACAUGGCCAGUCAAAGAGCUCUAAAUAUUGGGAUUCUGUUGGUAGACUGUCACUUUACAAUAACUGAAACAACAGGUAGG
ensembl:lncRNA